rnacentral:rRNA from 1 species
CCUACGGGUGGCAGCAGUGGGGAAUAUUGCACAAUGGGGGAAACCCUGAUGCAGCGACGCCGCGUGGGUGAAGAAGUAAUUCGUUAUGUAAAGCUCUUUCAGCAGGGAAGAAAAUGACGGUACCUGUGUCAUAAGCCACGGCUAAAUACGUGCCAGCAGUUGCGGGAACACGUAGGUGGCGAGCGUGAUCCGGAUUUACUGGGUGUAAAGGGAGCGUAGACGGGAGUGCAAGUCUGGAGUGAAAGGCGGGGGCUCAACCCCCGGACUGCUCUGGAAACUGUACGGUUGGAGUGCAGGAGAGGUAAGUGGAAUUCGUGGUGUAGCGGUGAAAUGCGUAGAUAUUAGGAGGAACACCAGUGGCGAAGGCGGCUUACUGGACUGUAACUGACGUUGAGGCUCGAAAGCGUGGGGAGCAAACAGGAUUAGAUACCCCUGUAGUC